AGGAACCCAAAACUGGAACCACUAAAACAAGGAUUUAGGCAAGGCAAGGCAAGGCAAAGAAUAGGAACAGUCAUAGCAUAAAAACAGAAAUCAGUCACCGGCAAGUAGAACAUAACAUACCAGCGGGGUAUUUCAGAAAGCAAGGUUAACUUACCAUCACAUAAACCCUGAACUCUCGAUGGAUUAACCAAGACGUUGCUUACUCAGAGUAUGUCAGUUCCAGAACAUCUGUUAGGAGAAAGUUCAAGCAACCUCCAAUUAGUAACUCGCGUAGUUAAUGCGCACACACGGUGAGUACAUAAAGACUUGGAAUCAAUGGAUCACCAUGGAAACCCAGGGCGAGUGGCAUACUCCGGCAAGGCAGAGUUAGAGGUUUUAAUGCAUGCUUAUGAGAAAUAUGAGCCAUUUAUAGAAAAUAAAGUAACUGCUGCUCCGGACAAAGAGUCGACUUGGGGAAAAAAGUAACGGAUCGAGUAAAUGCGUGAAUUUAUAAAGUUCAUAAAUAUCUCAAAAGUUUCCUUUCGUUAUGAUGCAGGAUUAAACACUGAUCCUAUUAGACCCGUGCCAUAACAUUUAAGAGAUCUGGCUUUACUUUUAGCCCUCCAUCAAUUUAUUGACAUUGUACAUAGUACUAAUAAUAUACAGUGGGGGAAAUGAGUAUUGAACGUGAAAAUAUAUUUCCAAUCAGGCUUUUCACGUGAAAUUUUCAACAGACUUUGGUAUUAACUCCAGAAAUCCAGAAAUAUAAAGAAAUCCAAACAUUAAAGUCCAUAAUGUUUGACGUUAUGUGUAAUAAAGUGGAAUGACACAGGAAAAGAAGUAUGGAACACACUAAGAAAAAGCAGUUCUCCAAGGCAGCGCAAGGCAAGGAACCAGCUGAAAUCCGUAAGUAAUUAGAAAGUACUUAUACCUCCUAUCUGUGCAAAUUAAUAUCAGCAGGGCUGUUAAAUUGACGGUCUAUGAAAAGGCCUUUCGUUACCCGGGUGUCACACAUGAAAUGUCUCAUGAUGGAUGAAAGCAAAGAGCUCUCCCACACAGGCGUUUAUCAACACUUCUGAAUCUUCCAGUGAGCGCCAUUGGGGCCAUUAUCUGCAAGUGGAAGCAACAUCACUCCGUCAUCAACCGGCCACGCACAGGAGCUCCUCGCAAGAUUUCUGACCAGGGAGUCAGAAGAAUAAUCAGAACAGUAGCCCAAGAGCCAAGGAGCACUCGGAAAGAGCUCCAGAAACACCUGGAGGCAGCAGUUGCUGAUGGGCACAUCGUAAUUAUUGACCCUUCUUCAGCAGCACACCCUGCCACAGUCGAAUUGUCUUAGACAUGGACACCAGCUGGCUACUAUACAGAAUUCUCCAGAGACAGCGGCCCACACAGUGGAACCAAAGAAGACGUGGCUCAAGCAAGCUGAAAAACGACCGGAAGGAUAAAAGACUAAACGUGGAAAAGAAAGAAAAAAAAAAAGCCAGCGAUGUCGUCCCUGAUCUCCAAGCAUGGAGUCGUGUUGCCUGAGAUCCAGAGGCACCCAGAGCAACGUACCGUCUCUGAGAUCCCCCUCAUUCAGACCCUAGCUAGUGACCGAAAGACACUAGACAUGCAGGUGCUGAAGGAAAAUAAACAGCACUUGGAAAGAGCUGAAAGCAAGAAAGUUGAAAAAUAAGAGAAAGGUCAAAAGAAAGUUGAAAAGGAAGGGUGUCAGGGUGUUGCAAGGAGGUUGCUAAGGUGUUCCAGGUGGUUGCUGAGGUCCUUCUAUGAGAGGCGUUGCUAUGGGAUUCCAGGCGGAUGUAAAGAUUGUUGCAAGAAGGUGACUAAAGUGAUCCAAGUGGUUGCUAGGCAGUUGUGUGAAUGUGCAAGACAGAAGGAAAGAAAUAAAGAAAGAAAAGGUAAAGUGUAAGAGUCAAAUGAAUGAAUAAAUACAUAGCACAUCAAUAGAAGUUUAGCUUAAAGGUUUGGGUUUGAUAUUCACUUUC